UUCAGGAGAGCCAACCUGCCCGGAAGUGAUAUGUCACGGACCGAACAACGUCGCAUGCUUUAUUGGCCCUUUUCAAUGCAAAUGCAGUUGUGUGGAGGAAGCAACCCCCUGUGGAUUCCUGCAGCUGCGUCCAUGUCGACAGGGUCAUUCCGUCAAGUGUCAAAGAUCUGACAACACGUGCAUAUGCAAGUGCGUGGAAGACUGAAAUGAUUGAAGUGCGUCAAACAAUUGUUCAAUAAAAGGUGCUAUAUUAGGAGCAACAGAAAACCA